GGCGCCGGGCACACUGGGGCCUUGUGCCAGGAGGUAACCGUUCUCCUCUCCGGUGUGGCUGGAAGAAGAGCCUUCCUCCCCAGCUGUCCCUUCUGUGCAAGCCUCAGCGUCUGGGCUGUCUAGACGGAGCUGCCAUUUCCACCUGGAGGUCUGGGUCUGUGGUCCACAGGGCUGCUGCACAGGCUGGGACUGCCGGCUAGGCCAGGAGACCUGGCAGCUGUGGACUCCCUAGCUCGGAGCAGCCCCUCUUUGACCUCG
rnacentral:lncRNA from 1 species